rnacentral:lncRNA from 1 species
CGGGAUGACCCUCUUAGGAGGAAAUAGGAUCAUUUCUGCCUUCUAGCAAUCCUGGGGCAUUUCCUCUUAUUGGUUAGUGUUGGAGAGGCACGGCCUCGGUCAUCGUGGGUCAUCACCAGUCACCCCGACUUUCCUCUUGCCGUUGGCCUUUGUUGACUGGAAAAGGGAGUGAGACCAACAAUUCUGGGCAACUCUGCCUCACUCAGAUCCAAUUCAUGAGAAUUCAAAGAAAUGUGCUCCUUUGCCAAAAUCUGGCUAACAGGCCAAUUUUACAAUGACUCUUCUCCUGCCUACAUGACAACCUUAACAACCAGUACCUGUCAGUUUAC